UAGAGUCUAAAAACUCCAUAAAACCCAUGUGAACUUACCAUUUGUUGCUUCGGCGGAUCGCCCCGGGCGCCCCUCUUCGCGGGGGGUGCCCCGGAACCAGGCGCCCGCCGGGGACCUCUCAAACCCUGUUUUUUUAUAGCGGACUCUCUGAGUGGAUUUAUACAAAUCAAUCA
rnacentral:misc_RNA from 1 species